rnacentral:tRNA from 3 species
GGAGGAUUGUCCGAGUGGUUUAUGGUGCUUGUCUCGAAAACAAGUCGGCUGAAAGGCCCCACAGGUUCGAAUCCUGUAUCCUCCG